GAACGCCAUACAAACCAUCAGAGGGGAUGGCUGUCGGCAGCCUGCGACUUGGGAUCUUCACCAUGUAGCCGGCGCUGGCGAGCGGCUGUUGGUCGCGAGCAGCCAAACUGUAGCGACACUCCACCAAGAACCUAAAAUUGAAGCUCUGAUGUGACAAUUUUGCGUGAUCUUUGAGUGAGAGAGCAAAAGUGGCGUCCUGCGACGAGUCCGCCGCUCACCUGAUCCUGAUCCAGUCUCCAACGUUUUGGCUGGCCAUUAGCGACUCCAGGUAAUUCCUCCCCAUGUAGUACGGUGGCCUCUCGUUGAUCUUCACGGGUACUCGUUCCAGCAGCCCCACCGGAAUAUACCUGAAACACAUUUUUGCCCCAUUUUAUACGUGAAACGGCCGCGCGUGGCGCCAGCAUCCCACCUGCACAUGAAGGAGAGCCACUCGAGCAGGAAGGUGCGCGUCUUCUCCACACCACGCGUGUCCGAGCCCCAGUGCUCCAGGCCGUAGUUGCUAAAGUCUCGGAGGAUGUCCAGACGCUCGGCCGACGAGAUGUCCCAGUGACGGCUCUCCUUGAUUUCUGUGAAGAGCCAGGGCUUCACCAGAGCACCCCUGGUGAAUGAUCGGAAUUAUACGACGUCCAUUUUAUGAUUUACGUGAUGACGCUUAUUGAACUAUCAUCUAUUUUACGAGCUGUUAAACAAUUCAAAAUUCUUCUCGUGAAACGCCGCCACAGAUAACGGGCCGGGUGCUCUCUGCAGUUGAGUGCAUCGUUUACUGGGGGACGACGGCACUAUUAGAAUAAUACACCAACCUUGCGAUCAUGAUCCCAGAAACGCCUGUCUCUUUGGCUCUUGCGGCAUCUUCAUAGGACAGAAUAUCUCCAUUCCCUAAGACGAGACAGUGUUGCAUUUUUCAAUCACGCAGAAGAAAGUUUUCCAAUCUAUUGAUCAUUCUGUUGAUACCAAAAAGUGGGAUGGGGCUGGCUAGCUUGGAGCAGGUGGUGAUGUAGUCCCAAUCAGCGAGCUUGGUGUAGCGUUGCUCUCUAGAGCGGCCGUGCAGCUAGAUGAACAACGCGAGGAAGAAAAACAGGUUAGGCGGGCAACGUGUUGUUUUUAUGAAUUUCUAUUUUAACCAGGUAGAGAAAUACAUUUGCUCAUCAGUCUAUGCCAGUAAUUGAUAGUGUCAAGAUGACAGAAGGUAAAACUGACCGGUGUGGCCACCUGUUUUUGAAUAAUAGCCUGAUGCAGGCCAGGAUUCCACAGAGUUAGCAAAUUUGUGAGUAAAUUGAGUAAGUAAGUUUUGAAACAUUUGUUAACUCUUUAUUGACCAUAAUUCUUAUGCGGACUCAUCUGGAGAACAAAAAAAAUAAUUACAGUGAUCAUUGAGACGCCCCAAUUUUUCAUCUCGGGGAUGAGUUUAUGCGCGAUGUUGUUCUUCUCCUGAACACCGGUGCGGAUCUUCACCGUUAAAGGGACAUCCAGCACCUAGAUAAAGAUGGAGGGAGAGGAAACGACAACAAAAAAUGUUUCCUCCAAAUCCGCAAAAAAUCAUUUUAAACAUGCACACUCACGUAGUUCAUUCCCCGAACUAUCUGCUCAAACUUGCGGGUGCGCGUCAUCAAGCCACAGCCUCCGCCCUGAGCAGCAAAAAACAGGGUGAGUCAUGUUUUUUUUUGGGGGGGGGGGGGGGGAGACACCAUGGCAAAAAUCCUCACCUUCUUAUAUACGAGGUCGAUGGGGCACCCUGAGUUAAUGUCCACAAAGUCCACCUCUGUGCUGUUGUUGAUGAGCUCGGCGCAUCUCGUCAUGGUGUCGGGGAAGCAGCCUUCCACCUAAAGACCAAGUCAGACUCAACCAUGCGGCAAAGAAGCAAGGAGUCUGCCAUUUUUGUUUGAGACGGCCAUUUGCAAUUCUGGUCUGUCUUCGAACCUGGACUCCAAAGAGAUCCUCACUCUCAUGCCGCUUGAGCAAAGCCCACUCAGACUGCUGACCCUGGAGCAGGUUGGUGCACAUGGCCAUCUCGCCGCAGGUGAUGUCCGCUCCCAGACGUUUACACACGCGGCGGAAGGGCAGGUUGCCGCACUGAGGAAAUAGAAGGAGGCACACACGAUGAACAACUGCAUCGGUGACAUGGGCGAAAAUUUCACUGGAGCGGCGCUUACGGUUGUUAACGGGGCGAGGUACAGUUUGUCACGGAAGUCCACCUUCAAGGACAAAAACAUUCGUUCAGCCAUCUUUGUUUCAACUUUUAUAGUAUAUUUCCAGACGGAUUGGGCGAUACCUGCUUUUUCUCACACGUUCGCAACUUGAUGACAUCCACGUCGGUCAACGGGCCGACAGUCCUCACGGCGCAAGCCUUGUCCUAGAGAAAAAAAAAUGGUUCACGUGGUCUGUCAGUGUAAACGCAGUCAAAUUGGAUAUGUGAACAGACAAUCGGAGACUGAGACGUCAAGAUGCAGUGUGAAUCCAACACUUAGUUGUGCUGCAUCCAAAAUUACAUUCGGUGAUGUAAAGUACUUUUUUUUUUUUUACCUGCGUUUCUACAUCUGUAGAUUCACACAUUGUCUCGGUCGGUGGACCUGCUGGUAAGUCAGUGGCGCCUGGAAAACGACUUAAACGAUUAAGAUGGGUCUUAUGAAUAUUGGUCACGUCGGCGGUUCUCAAACCCUUUGGGUUCGGUUUGAAAACUACUGCCCUGUAUGCUCAACAAACUAAAAUGUCUCCCUACCAUUGCCUUGUUGUUGUUUUGCCUCUUUGUUGUUGUUAAGUGUCUUGAGGUACUCCGCCGACUUGUCGAAUGCAACCGAAUGCUUCCUCAGACGAUUCUGUAGCUCUUUGGUCAGGCUGUUCCUCACCGGCACGCGGCCCUCGUGGCUUUUCAGCACGUCGGCGUUCUCAGCGCUCGUCAGCUCCGCCGUGGUGUGCGCCGCGGCAAAGCGACAGGAGAGGCCGUAUGUGCACUUCCCGAAGGUGUCGUAAUUGUGGCAACGUUCGCCGAUGUCGGGGGGCUUGUUGGCCAAGUAGGUAGCGACGUUGUGGUAGAAGUGGCACUUGUCGCCAUAGGGACAUUCCCUGUUGCCCUAACGAGGUCGGAGGGAUGGCCGUUGAGAACAUUUCAUUACAACAUAUGGACAUAGAUCUCGUUUAAAAUUCCUACCUGAAUAACUGAGGCACACAGCCUCUUUUCAUCGUACGACAUUGGUUUCUUGUGCGGCCUUGACUUGUUCUGCCCCCUCAGGCGUUUGCCGCCUUUGUUGAUCUCCUCUGCAUCCAAUUUCACCCUUUUUAUUUCGGGCUCCUCGGGUGGAUCCUCAGACGACUUGUUCUCGCCUCCUUUUGAGCUUUGCCAUUCGGAGUCAAGAAAGUCAUGGAAUUUUUCUUUGCUGGUGAUGAAUCUGUAAAUACAAGCAGCGGAGAGGGAGGAUGGUUUUCAGUCUGUUUCACAGUUAGGAUGAUGGUAAAAGUGAUCCCAUGAUUUAGGUGCCUUUAGAUGCAGCAAAGUGCUACCUUUCCAUUAGACAGCAUGACACUCCGACACCUACCUCAAGAUAUUGUAUAUUCAACUGACAAACAAAACUCAGCCAGUUUGGUAGUUGUUCAUAGUUUAAUGACUCACUCUGGUUUGAGGGCUGCUUCACCUUUUACUGCAGCCUCUGUCCCCUUUGCAGCUGUUGUUUCCUCUGCAGGUUUUUCCAUCACAUCUGUUGUUAACUGUUGAGACGGGACAUGCAUGAUUAUCGUUCCAAAGUGUACAUAUCACGAGACGAACAUGAAUACGCGGAUCUAUGGUGAGCAACUGGCGUGGCGCUUACUUACUGGUUUGCUGGUGUUGAGUUUGGCGUCUUCUAAUCAGUGUAUGCUAGCGGCUAACGCGAAGUCAAUAUCACAAUUGAAACAAUCGACAGCUAGCAUGAGCUAUUUCUUAAUGCCAGUGCGUGUGUCAAGUGUAGAAUAAUCGUUUUAUUUCCGUGUGUUUAUUGUGACGUAUAUUUAUACGCAACUAAAGCGACCAGUAUCUGAAAAGCGUGAAGAGGCGACAGUACACCACUUAAAAGGGUCCGGAAAUGACAAACGAAGAACAAUCGUUCCAGUCCGGUGUAAGCGUCAGGAGGGGUCGUAUAGCAUCAUCAACAUCCUGGGUUGACUUGAAAAACAGUGUUCCAAAAGUAGAAAGCGACGUUUUCCUUCGAGAAAUCAGAAUGUAAAUAAUAUAAAUGUGUUUGUUUAAAUGAUUUAUUUACUUUAUAUUGCCAGCAGAAGCCAUAUUCAGACGUUUUCAUAAAGACCUUUGCCUCCCGCCCCAAAAAAACGAAUACUGUUUAAAUAAAGUUGCCCUCUUUAAAAAAAAAUCCCCCUACGAAAUACAACACACUAUAAUGUAAAAUAAAUUAACAACAACACAAACACAGUAAACAAA